rnacentral:rRNA from 1 species
AUAGCGUAUAUUAAAGUUGUUGCAGUUAAAAAGCUCGUAGUUGGAUUUCAAGGGACGCACGUGGUCAACACGCUGCUCUCUACCAGUCUUUGACUGUUACUGUGAGAAAAUUAGAGUGUUUCAAGCAGGCUGUUGCAGGAAUACAUUAGCAUGGAAUAACGAAUGUGUCUAGAAUCUUGGUUAAUUCUAGAUUACGAUUAAUAGGGACAGUUGGGGGCAUUAGUAUUUAAUUGUCAGAGGUGAAAUUCUUGGAUUUAUUAAAGACUAACGUAUG